AGUGGAGGGAGUCAAGGUGUAGUCACUGCAUUAUGAAUUCCCGACUUGGGGCAGAAGCACCUUCCCGAAUUCAUGCUUCCGUGCUCCCGUCGGGGCCUGAACACUCUGGGUCCUUCAAGGAACUUCGAUCCUCGAAGAGGCAGAGAACGGAGUUUCAGGGUUGAGUGUGCACAGUCCAGGGCAACUGCUCGGAGGACGAACGCUUGGGAAAGUUGUAUGCCAGCCAAGGGACUGUUAGGGCUGCAGAGCCGCGGGCACCCACUGUGAGAGCUUGAGCGCCCCGAGUGGAGCCAUGAGGGGACCGACACCUGGCUGGGAGAACCCUCCCCACCCGGCAACGCACUGGAAAAGCUGAACCCCCUGUCCGGGGGCAUCCAGCAAAGCCCACGAUGUGGGGGCAUGUUUCCUCAAGAUUUCUGGAAAUGGGCACCAACCAAUAGUGGCUAGAAGCAGUCUGGAAUAGAUGUCAAACACCCAGCACCAGCCUGGGAUUACCAAACAAUGGAAGCUAAGAAACAGGAAGCAAGAGGAAAUUUCAAGAACCUAGCUCCGACCUGGGAGAUGAGGAGAGCGAUGAUGAGGAGAAGGCCUCUCUUCCUUGCACAGGGAUGUUCCAAAGCGGAUCAUUCUAUUUCUGCCUGGCCCGUGUCAACUGUUAGAAAACGUUCAUCAACAUCUUUCAUCACCAGUUUCCUGUGAAGGCCCAGCAGACUACUAGCCACAAAGCCCUGGGCUCCAAGCCCCGGUAUUGUAGAGAGAGGUUUUUCACUUGCGAGAUCUGUGGUAAGAGUUACUGUGGUAGUUCUGCACUGAGCCGUCACUGACAUACUCAUUCAUGUUUAUAGUAGGCCCAGUUCAUGCUCAGAGUGUGGAAACCGCUUCUGGGGUCAGACUGAGGUGAAACGCCACAAGAGCGUACACCAAGACAAGAAGCCAAUGGCUGGCAACCAGGAGCAUAAUGUGGAGGUUCCACUCACAGCACCUGGAUCCCAAGCUCCCAUCUUCAAGUGUGUGAAAGUGAUCCAGGUACCAGUGGCCAGAGAUAAGGCAAGUCAUGGCAGAGCCUCAUUCCUGAAUGGCAGUUCCAACUCUUUUCCAGUGAAAGGCUCAUGAGGAAACACUACUUGCUCCUAUUGUUUCAAGCAUUUUACCACCAAGACUGGUUUAUUUACCCACCUCAAAUCCCACAUACAAAAUCAGCCCAGUUAAGAACCCUCCCAAUCAUCCAUGGUGGCAGGCUACCACCCAAACACUCACACAGAGCACAGCAUCUGCUGUUGCCCUGCCUGUGACAUCUGCUUUAGGGGAAAGGAAAGCCUGCUGAAUCACUUGUGUUGUAAAGAUGGGUCACGCAGUCCCGUUAAUUACUGGAGAACCCUGGGUCAUGUGUUUGACUUUUUUGAUCCCUUGAAGUUGAGAAGUGUUUCAAAAGUAAAGGGGUCAUCAGGGGAACAAAAUAUGAAAAAAAAAAUGAAAGCCCAGAAGACAAGAUGAAACAUGCAUGAUGCAGCGAGAACUACUGAAACAUAAAUAAAAGACCUGUUGGGGCUGGCGAGACAGCUGAGAGGGCAAAGGAGCUUGACACUCAGCCUGACCUUCUGAGUUUGAACCCUGAGACCCCUGUAACCUCACACAUGCCCCGCCACAUAUCUCCCCACCGCACAAAAUAAAUAUAAUUUUUAAAACUA